rnacentral:rRNA from 1 species
UUCGAAUCAUUCACAAUGGGCGAAAGCCUGAUGGUGCGACGCCGCGUGAGGGAUGAAGGUCUUCGGAUUGUAAACCUCUGUUACCGGGGAAGAAACGCUUCAAGUUAAUAGUUUGAAGCCUGACUUAACCCGGAGAGGAAGCAGUGGCUAACUCUGUGCCAGCAGCCGCGGUAAUACAGAGGUGGCAAGCGUUGUUCGGAAUUACUGGGCGUAAAGGGCGCGUAGGUGGCCUUUUGAGUCAGACGUGAAAUCCCCCGGCUUAACCUGGGAACUGCGUCUGAUACUGGAAGGCUUGAGUUCGGGAGAGGGAUGUGGAAUUCCAGGUGUAGCGGUGAAAUGCGUAGAUAUCUGGAGGAACACCGGUGGCGAAGGCGGCAUCCUGGACCGAAACUGACACUGAGGCGCGAAAGCCAGGGGAGCAAA